GUACGAUUACGCGAUGCCUGAAUUUGCGUAACAGGCACGCGCUUCUUCUAUAAAGCACAAGGAACUCCUUGGCACAAACCCUAAACCCUCCUCUCUGCAUCGUCAACUGUUCUCCACUCGCAACCUCCGUCGCGUUAGCUCAUUAAGGUUUCACUAUGGGUAAGGAGAAGGUUCACGUCAACAUUGUGGUCAUUGGCCAUGUCGACUCUGGGAAGUCGACCACCACUGGACACUUGAUCUAUAAGCUUGGAGGAAUUGACAAGCGUGUUAUUGAGAGGUUCGAGAAGGAAGCUGCUGAGAUGAACAAGAGGUCUUUCAAGUAUGCUUGGGUGUUGGAUAAGCUUAAGGCAGAACGUGAACGUGGUAUUACCAUUGACAUUGCCUUGUGGAAGUUCGAAACCACCAAGUACUACUGUACUGUCAUUGAUGCUCCCGGUCACCGUGACUUCAUCAAGAAUAUGAUCACCGGUACCUCACAGGCCGACUGUGCUGUUCUGAUCAUUGACUCUACGACUGGUGGUUUUGAAGCUGGUAUUUCUAAGGAUGGGCAGACUAGGGAGCAUGCUUUGCUCGCUUUCACUCUUGGUGUCAAGCAGAUGAUUUGUUGCUGCAACAAGAUGGAUGCCACUACCCCUAAGUAUUCCAAGGCAAGGUACGAUGAAAUCGUUAAGGAAGUUUCUUCCUACCUUAAGAAGGUGGGUUAUAAUCCCGAGAAGAUUCCAUUUGUCCCCAUCUCAGGCUUUGAGGGUGACAACAUGAUUGAGAGGUCAACAAACCUUGACUGGUAUAAGGGCCCUACCCUCCUCGAGGCCCUUGACAUGAUCCAGGAGCCCAAGAGGCCCACAGACAAGCCACUCCGCCUUCCCUUACAAGAUGUAUACAAGAUUGGUGGUAUUGGAACUGUCCCAGUGGGACGUGUUGAGACUGGGAUCCUCAAGCCUGGUAUGGUUGUCACAUUCGGGCCCUCUGGAUUGACAACUGAAGUUAAGUCUGUGGAAAUGCACCAUGAAGCCCUCCAGGAGGCUCUGCCUGGUGACAACGUCGGUUUCAAUGUGAAGAAUGUCGCUGUAAAGGAUCUGAAGCGUGGAUUUGUUGCUUCUAACUCGAAGGAUGAUCCUGCCAAGGAGGCUGCUAAUUUCACCUCUCAGGUCAUCAUCAUGAAUCAUCCAGGUCAAAUUGGAAAUGGCUAUGCCCCUGUCCUCGACUGCCACACUUCUCACAUUGCGGUCAAAUUUGCCAAGAUCUUGACUAAGAUAGACAGGCGUUCUGGUAAGGAGCUUGAGAAGGAACCCAAGUUCUUGAAGAAUGGUGAUGCUGGUUUUGUGAAGAUGAUUCCCACCAAGCCCAUGGUUGUGGAGACAUUCUCUGAGUACCCUCCACUGGGUCGCUUUGCUGUUAGGGACAUGCGUCAGACCGUGGCUGUCGGAGUCAUUAAGAGUGUCGAGAAGAAGGACCCUAGUGGAGCCAAGGUGACCAAGUCUGCUGCCAAAAAGGGUGGAAAAUGAACUGUGUAGGCUCGUAUUGGUUCUAUAGCAGAUGGAACUUUCAUUACUAAUGGCGGUCUUUCUAAAAAAUUUGAGUUCUUGUUCGGUCAUUGUUUGCUUUAUCCUGUGUCUUAGAGCGUUCUCUCCGCACCUUCAAGCCACAGAAGCUCGCAGCACUGGAUGUUCGAUAGGCGGUGGUGGAGACUGUUGAUAAUCUGAGUCAUUGGAAUGUGAAUGGUCGAGGUGCUUUGGAUUUUCCAAGGCGGCUCAAAAGUUUUGAGCUGGGGCGUGCUGAGCCAAGCAAUUGAAAAGUGAAGGAGAAGCUGUAUUUCACCGAGAGAUGUUCUUUUCAGACGGUCUCUGGGCUUCUAGUUCUCUACACUUUCGGAGAGUUACAGCCGUGAGUUCAUUGGAGCAGGCGUGCCUAGAAAGUGGUCGAACGGGCAAGCUCCACCCACCGUCAGUCGCGUAGCGAUGCCUUCGCAGGUUGUUUGGUUUGGUCAGCGGAGGAUAACAGAAGGUGUCGUACAUUGAUCGUCCUCGUACCCA